AUUCUGGGUAUAAAUAUAUGUAUAUAUCUACAGACCCUCUACAGACCACUACAGACCCCCAACAGACCCUCUACAGACCCUCUACAGACCACUAGAGACCACUACAGACUCUCUACAGACCACUACAGACCCUCUACAGACCCCCAACAGACCCUCUACAGACCACUACAGACCCUCUACAGACCCCCAACAGACCCUCUACAGACCACUACAGACCCACUACAGACCCUCUACAGACCACUACAGACCCCCAACAGACCCUCUACAGACCACUACACACACACACACACUCACAGACACAGACACAGACACACACACACACACACACACACACACAGACACACACACACGCACACACACAAACACACACACAACACCACUACAGACCCUCUACAGUUGUAUUUUGUAUUUUGUGUAUUGUGUGAAAGUGAAACCCAGCAGACGGAUCAGAACACGCUCAGUGUUUGUGUGCUGGGAACAAACCGCCUGCAGGCAAAGGAGGAGAUGGCUCGAGCUGUGUGUGUGUCUGUGUGUGUGUGUGUGUGUGUGUGUGUGUGUGUGUGUGUGUGUGUGUGUGUGUGUGUGUGUGUGUGUGUGUGUGUGUGUGUGUGUGUGUGUGUGUGUGUGUGUCUGUGUGUGUGUGUGUUUGUGUGUGUGAAGGGGCCUUGAGGAGAUUCCAGGCGUUCUCAAAGGUGCUCCAGAGGUUCUCUAUGAGGAUAUGUUGGAUAGGUUCCAGGUAACCCUUUAUGGUAACUUUGGGAACUUUGGGAACUUUGGAAAGGUACCAGAGGUCUUUGAAAAUGGCCUUGAGAGGGUUCAGUGGGCCCUUGAAUAUCCUCAAGGACCUUCCCUGUGUAACGGUCUGCAUUAUCGCUGUGGUUGCUAUGGUUACCUGCAGUUAAAGGUGAUUGACUGGUUUGGACACAAAGACGUAACCACAUCAGAAAAGGAGGCGGCGCCAUGGUAACCAGAUGGAUGAAUCUGAUUGGCUGUCUGCCCGGCAGUAAAAAUUCCGGCAUGUUGCUGAUGAUGAACGUGGGAACAAGCAGUGACCUUUGACCCCUGUGAGGCUGUUAGAGACUCACUCUGAAUCUGUAAUGUGGGGUCAAAGGUCAGGCUGCAGAGAGGGUUUCAGACCUCUGCUGGAUAAACAAGAAUCCUUUUUCUUUGGAUUGAAGGUUGUUUAUUAUUCUUUGUUUUGUUUUUGUUUGCAGGUGAUGGGUCCUUUAAUAGAGUGACAUCACUUCCACUUCUUUACAUUUGGCGAACAUUUUCUUUCCUAAUAUAUAUAUUAUAUUAUAUAAUAUAUUACAUUUAUGAAUAAAUAAUAAUAAAUCUGUUCCUUGACAAAAAUAAAUAAAAAACAAAAUAUGAAAGAGUUUACAUUAAUUAAUAG
rnacentral:lncRNA from 15 species